rnacentral:misc_RNA from 1 species
GAUGAAGAACGUAGCGAAAUGCGAUAAGUAAUGCGAAUUGCAGAAUUCAGUGAGUCAUCGAAUCUUUGAACGCACAUUGCGCCCCUUGGUAUUCCGAGGGGCAUGCCUGUUCGAGCGUCAUUAUAACCCCUCAAGCUCGGCUUGGUGUUGGGGCCUGCCGCACGGGCAGCCCUUAAAAUCAGUGGCGGUGCCAUCUGGCUCUAAGCGUAGUAAUUCUUCUCGCUAUAGAGUCCCGGUGGAUGCUUGCCAUUAACCCCAAUUUCAAUGGUUGACCUCGGAUCAGGUAGGGAUACCCGCUGAACUUAAGCAUAUCAAUAAGCGGAGGA